GACGAACGCUAGCGGCGUGCUUAACACAUGCAAGUCGAACGGAAAGGCCCUGCUUUUGUGGGGUGCUCGAGUGGCGAACGGGUGAGUAACACGUGAGUAACCUGCCCUUGACUUUGGGAUAACUUCAGGAAACUGGGGCUAAUACCGGAUAGGAGCUCCUGCUGCAUGGUGGGGGUUGGAAAGUUUCGGCGGUUGGGGAUGGACUCGCGGCUUAUCAGCUUGUUGGUGGGGUAGUGGCUUACCAAGGCUUUGACGGGUAGCCGGCCUGAGAGGGUGACCGGCCACAUUGGGACUGAGAUACGGCCCAGACUCCUACGGGAGGCAGCAGUGGGGAAUAUUGCACAAUGGGCGGAAGCCUGAGGCAGCAACGCCGCGUGCGGGAUGACGGCCUUCGGGUUGUAAACCGCUUUCGCCUGAGACGAAGCGUGAGUGACGGUAAUGGGUGAAGAAGCACCGGCUAACUACGUG
rnacentral:rRNA from 1 species